AAUUAACAGAUUGUCUUUAUCAAAACUUUCCAAAGUUGAGGACUGCAGGUGGCUAUGAGUUGCUCAAAAGCUCUGGUAACACAAGGAGCCGCCAGCUCUCUGUUAUACAGUGCCCAAAUGAAGGGUACAGUGUGCAAUAUCUGAAGGAACCAAGCACUAUGAUUUACCACUCUAUAAUUUACAUCCGCCCUCUACAGUGCCAUUUCAGCUUGGAGCCGGAAGAAACUGAGGGACCUUCUAACACAUAUAUUGGACCACUGACGCCAUGUCUUCUUUGUGGAGAGGAAUUUCCGUUUUCACAGAUAAGGCAACAUAAUCAGACUUGUUCAAGCUGGUCCUUCAACUGCUCUAAGCACACAGCAGCCUAAUCCUCCAGAUAUUCAGAGGGACCUCGGAAAUGCUUGGAUUACAGAAGUAGUUCCAGCCAAAGCGUCU